rnacentral:rRNA from 1 species
UACGUAGGGACCGAGCGUUGUCCGGAAUCAUUGGGCGUAAAGAGCGUGUAGGCGGCUUGUUAAGUCUUGCGUGAAAUCUCGGGGCUCAACCCCGAGCGGUCGUGAGAAACUGGCAGGCUAGAGUGCGGGAGAGGAGAGUGGAAUUCCUGGUGUAGCGGUGAAAUGCGCAGAUAUCAGGAAGAACACCCGUGGCGAAGGCGGCUCUCUGGAACGCAACUGACGCUGAGACACGAAAGCGUGGGUAGCAAACAGG